UCCGUAGGUGGAUCAAUCAGUCAGAGGUGAAGUCCUGCAGCUUAACUGUAGAACUGCCUUUGAUACUGUUGAUCUUGAGUCAUUAUGAAGUGGUUAGAAUGUGUAGUGUAGCGGUGAAAUGCAUAGAUAUUACACAGAAUACCGAUUGCGAAGGCAGAUCACUAAUAAUGUACUGACACUGAGGGACGAAAGCGUGGGGAGCGAACAGGAUUAGAUACCCUGGUAGUCC
rnacentral:rRNA from 1 species